CCGCUUUUAGCUCAGUGGUCGAGCGUUGGCUUUGGAAGCCACAGGUCGGUGGUUCGCACCCACCAGGGCACA
rfam:Phytophthora infestans T30-4 supercont1.31 genomic scaffold, whole genome shotgun sequence.